CCCAGAGCCAUGUCCUGGGGGAAUCUGGUCUGGCCUCACAUGGCCAGCAGUGACCACCCCAGGGCGAUGUUCACUGUUAAACUGGAGGUGCCUGUGCCAGGAGAAGCCUGAGGGAAGACUCUGUUCCUGGGAGAGGCUGAGGCUCCCAGGAGUGUCUGGAGGGGCUGUCCUCGAGGGGCCAGGGUGGUGUUAGGACAGCUUGGGCUAUGCCUGGGAGCUGGGACCUGUCACUGGUACCUUGUGUGGAGGAGCCCCUCAGCCUGGUGAGGGCUCAGGCCAGGACUCACCACGUUCCCAUUCCCGGCGGAACAGGCUCUGCGUGAGGCGGGAUGCUGGAGGACACACCGGGGCCCACUUGACCAACACUUUGAGGAGCAUUUCAAGUGCUUUUCCUAAAGCUGAAUUCUCUAUAAAGGAGAAGUGACUAGAAACCCUGAACUGAGUCCCAGGUCUCGCUUAACUUUGUAAGGCACAGUGACACACUGAGGCUGCUCCACUUAAGGUAUGGUAUGAACCAGGAGCUGUGGAAUGAGUGUUCACAUGGAUCAUCCUGCCUGUGGAAUGAGUGUUCACAUGGAUCAUCCUGCUGCAGCUAUUCCCGAGCCAGCAGCUGCUGUGUAAGCAGAGCCUAAAAGACAAUCCUUGCCCCAGUGACUGUGUGGCAGAUAAGACAGACAAUGGGCACAAGGAAGGCCCCUGGCUAUCAGGGAAGGAUGGAUACUGUUCAACCAGCUGGGAACAAAGAAACCUGGGCUGCUCCAGGCCCUGCAGGACUGAACCAGAGUGUCCUUCCCUGCCUGCUGGUUCCAGGAACGUGACACUUUGGGAACUGUUUGUGUCAGGACUCCCUGCUUUGACACCUUUGAUUUCUGAGACUACCUCAUUUCAGGAAACCCCAGAGCUCCUCUCCACAAGGAUUUCCCCAUCCAGCAGCUCUCAUGUCUUCACUGGAUACUGAAAUGAGAUGGAAGGGCUUGAAUGUUUCCUUGGCAAGAUGUGUGGAUGGAAUUAGUUUAAUCUGUUCUGAUUCUGGUUCUACCAAGUCAACUGGACCCAAUCACCUCCUCUGCUAACAGGCUGCAGAGCAACAAUCUACUGGAAUAUUCUUUGUGCUGAGAACAGGAAGAUCUGGAAUGAGGGUUUGUAACUUUUUUGGAUGAGUUUCUAUGUUACAAUUUUUACCUUUAAUAUCACCACUUUAAAUAAGAAUAAUUAUUUGUUGAAAUAAACACAUUUUUUGCCCUGAAAUACUGGAAUAUGCCUCCACAGCUUCUUCCUGCCUCAGCUCUGCCACUGUGAAGAGAACCCACUUGUGGAUUUCAAAGCCAGAAGGACGAGCUGGAACCUCUAACAGAGGAUGUGCACAGAGCAAUUCCUGCAGUUCCUCCUGCAGCCAGGGCCCUGAUGAGUGGAUCUUUUCCUUACCUGCUCUAGGAACUCCUGUAUAAAUGUCUGACAAGCUCUUCCAGGGCUUUAUAA